GCACAACGCGAAGAACCUUACCACCUUUUGACAUGCCCGGACCACCAGAGAGAUCUGGCUUUCCCUUAGGGGACUGGGACACAGGUGCUGCAUGGCCGUCGUCAGCUCGUGUCGUGAGAUGUUGGGUUAAGUCCCGCAACGAGCGCAACCCACGCCAUUAGUUGCCAUCAUUUAGUUGGGCACUCUAAUGGGACCGCCGGUGGUAAGCCGGAGGAAGGUGUGGAUGACGUCAAGUCCUCAUGGCCCUUACAGGGUGGGCUACACACGUGCUACAAUGGCGACUACAGAGGGUUGCAAGCCAGCGAUGGUGAGCCAAUCCCAAAAGUCGUCUCAGUUCGGAUUGCACUCAGCAACUCGAGUGCAUGAAGUCGGAAUCGCUAGUAAUCGCGGAUCAGCAUGCCGCGGUGAAUACGUUCCCGGGUCUUGUACACACCG
rnacentral:rRNA from 1 species